rnacentral:lncRNA from 1 species
AGUUCCAGGGCUCCCCCAGGGCCCCUGCUGACCAGCUCUUUUCCAAGGCUACACUCCACGGGAGGACUGGAGAACAUCUCAGGGAGGCAGCCACAGCCGCCACUGCGUGGGGCCCCAGCAAUGACAUGGUUUUGGACCUUUGUCUACAAAAUCUUCGCAUUGUUACUGGGAACAGAGGUGAGAGGUCCUCAGCCUGAUGUGGACUGUGGCAGCCGGUACUCAGGGGUCCGCUGGCUAGAGGAGGAGCCCCCUAAGUCUCAUCAGUGUGGAGGAUCCCCUGAGCCUUGGCCCCUGAUGGACUGAAUUCUGGGCCUUGGAAGCAGCACAGUUCCCAGACACUGCACUUCCUGGAGCCAGGGUAGACAAAGAUCCUGGGAAGGAAAA